rnacentral:piRNA from 1 species
UAGGAUUACAGGUCGGAGCGCCAUGCCUA